AUGUUCCCAAAAGGAGUGAGGAAUGCUCCCAACAGGAGUGAGGAAUGCUCCCAACAGGAAUGGGCAGGAAACACUAUAAACAGGAGUGAGGAAUGCUCCCAAAAAAGAGUGGGGAACGCUCCCAAUGCUCCCAACAGGAGUGGGGAAUGCUCCCAGCAGGAGAAAGGAACACUCCCAAGAGGAGGAGAAAUACUUCUAACAGGAGCAGGAAACAUUCCCAACAGGAGUGGGGAGCACUCCCAAAAGGAGUUUUUUUGGGAACACUCCCAAAAAAGAAUGGGGAACGCUCCCAAUGCUCCCAACAGGAGUGUGGAAUGCUCCCAGCAGGAGAAAGGAACACUUCUAACAGGAGCAGGAAACAUUCCCAACAGGAGUGGGGAAGCACUCCCAAAAGGAGCAGGAAACACUCCCAAAAGGAGUGGGGAAUGCUCCCAAAAGGAGGGAAGCACUCCCAGGAGGAGCAGGGAACACUCCCAAAAGGAGUGGGGAAUGCUCCCAAAAGGAGGGAAGCACUCCCAGGAGGAGCAGGGAACACUCCCGAGAGGAGCAGAGCUGUGAGAAGCAGGAGUGCCCUCCUGAGCAGGUGAAUUCCUGUGCCCAGAAGCAGGAAUCCCAAAUCCUGCCCUUCCCUGUGCGUGUCCUGGCACCAGGCUGGGGCGGCUGCUGGAGCUGACCUGAGGCAGGCUCCUUGCUGGAAACGUGCUUUGGUGGGUUUUGUUCUUUUUAUUUUUAUUUUUUUUCAGCUGAGCAAGAAAAAAUGCAACGCCCAGGGCACCUUCUCAGAGGUGCUGCUUUAAAGAUUAGUGGGGAAUAAGGACAUUUAUUUUUAAAGUUCCUCCUAAAAAUCAUUUUUUCUUUGAAAUUCCCAGUGGAGAAAGAAUUGCUGUUACUGUUUUUCUUUCUCACGGAUGACAAAUACCAAUUUGUAAAAUAUCAGUGUUAAAAAAUGUUGAGAUUUUCACGAGAUAUUUUAAAAAAAAAAGUAUAAUAGUGUCAUUAAUAUAAAAUUAUAAUAGCAGUAUUUAAUCCUUUCAGAUCUGUAAAGAAUAAGGAAAAACAGAAGGUAAAUAUUCUUACAGAGAGUAGCUGAGCUUUAAGGUUCACUUGGUUUAAAGUCCUCGUUUUGUUUGCAGAUGCAUUGUUAAUGUUUAGAGGUUAUACUAAUGUUAUUUAUUAAUUGUUUCCAUCCUUGUAUGCUGCCCACUAAGAGCUUCUUUGUUUGGGAUUUCAUUCACCUGUGUCAGUAAGAAAGAAAACAAAACAAAGUUUUAUUUUUAAAUAAAAUUUCCUUUGUUGUAGCA
rnacentral:lncRNA from 1 species